CCCUCCCCUCCUCUCUAUGGUUCCCCUCCCUCCUCUCUAUGGUUCCCCUCACUGUCUCCGCCCCCUAACCCCGCGUGCGCCCCAUUCGCUCAGCGCGGACCAAUCCGCACUCCGCGCGCUUCCCAUUGGCCGCGUGGGGACCAAUAAGCGGCCGCGUUGAGUUCGGUAACGGGCGGCGGGAGGAGCCUUAAGGAGGACUUAAAGCGGCGGCGGUGCGGGACGCGGUUGCUUAGCGCGAUGGUGGUGGGCGGCUCUUCCCAGAAGGAGAACCGCACUCCGGGGCCGAACGACACCGUGAAACGCUUUCCUUACGGCCGAGUCCCGGUGCGGACCCGCUCCCGUUGCGCGGAACAUGGAGAACGACCGAACGCUGCCUGCACCGCUCCGUCCUGUGGGCAGCCCCGUGACGCAGAGGUGGAGCAGCCCCCUCCCCCAGCGCUGGAUGUAGAGACCACCGUCACCCCCUCACCCGUUGCCACCCCUGUGCUGGGGGCUGCGGGGCGCAGGCCCUGCUUGGCCCGCAGGGUGCCCGCCCGUGCCCCCCCCUCUGCCAAAGGACCCUCCCCUCUGAGUACAGCAGGGACCCAAACAGCACUGCUUGGUCCCCUCCAGGAGGGUGCAUCCAUGGGGCUGAGGGUCCCCAAGAAGAAGAAGAAUGGCACCCCAGGCUCCUCCAGUGCUGGCUUGACUCUUUGCGUCUCUGUCACCAAGAACAUGCGUUCUGCCCCCCGCACUCAGAGCUCGCUCCGCACGCCGUGCCUCACCCCUUGCAUCUCCCAGCCACGUGCCCUGCAGGUGGGGGGCAGCUUGAGCACUGGGAAGGGCUCCCAACCUGCCCCCCCAGCCCCUGCUGAUGGCGUUGUCCCCUCGGAGACCCCCCUGCGCUGGCGACCGGCUGUGACUCCCCAGUCUGACCCCCGUGCAUACGCUGCUGUCAGCAACAACAAUCUGUCCCCAUCCUGGGACAAGGUGGUGGUGCAGCUCUUCAAGGGGAACGAAGGCCAGCAGGAUGCUAAGGUGACGAUGACACAUCCCAGCAGCACCCCAGGCCCCAGCAAGGCACAGCGUGCAGCCCUGCUCCUGCAGCAGCUGCUGCAGAUGGUGCAGGACCGACCAGAUGCCGUAGCGGUGCUGACGGAGCUGUGGGGGCUCAUGACCGAGUUGGGGGUGGACCCCAUGCCCCAGGACCCCCUGGAUACCCACAGCCUCUCCUCGUAACUGUGACCUACAUGGGGGUUGAGCUGCAUCUCUGUGAACAAAGGGAGUGGGUGAGGGCACAGACAGACCCUCCUGGUGGUGGCCAAGUGGCUGCUGGGGGGUACAGACGCCCCCCUGCAGCAGGCAGACCCCCCUCCAAUGCAGGGCAGUAUGGGUAUGUAUGGGCACAAGGAGUGUGAGAGCUGGGGGGGAGAGGGAGAUCGCUGAAGAGAAGUGUGAAUAAAAUAUUGUCUGCUUUGUUUUGCUGUAUGGGG
rnacentral:lncRNA from 1 species